rnacentral:rRNA from 1 species
UACAGAGGUCCCAAGCGUUGUUCGGAUUCACUGGGCGUAAAGGGUGCGUAGGCGGUCGGGUAAGUCUGAUGUGAAAUCCCGCAGCUUAACUGCGGAACGGCAUUGGAUACUAUUCGGCUCGAGGAGUGGAGGGGAGACUGGAAUUCUCGGUGUAGCAGUGAAAUGCGUAGAUAUCGAGAGGAACACCUGUGGCGAAGGCGAGUCUCUGGACACUUCCUGACGCUGAGGCACGAAAGCCAGGGGAGCAAACGGG